UCCUUCACGCCUUCUUACAAAAAUGUGGCAAAAAAACUAAGCAUUAGCACUACUGCUACUACAAGGAUUGCUGCGUAUAUAUAUAUCCUAAUAAUAACAUUUGGUUAGGGAGCAAAAUUUGCUUGCACUCAUAUAUGCAACGCUGCUUGGACACAUAGGUACACGUACAGAAGAAGGAAGGAAAAAAAAGGAACACAUGAUGGGAUCAGGUUAUCAUAAGAUCACGCUUCAGUAGAUGCUGCUGCUGCUGCUGCUAAUGAAACAUGGUUCGAGAUGUAGGCAGAGGCGAAAGUUUCAAGGUUUCUGAUGCUAUCUAUUCAGG
rnacentral:lncRNA from 1 species